GGGUUGUGAGGUUAAGCGACUAAGCGUACACGGUGGAUGCCCUGGCAGUCAGAGGCGAUGAAGGACGUGCUAAUCUGCGAAAAGCGCCGGCGAGGUGAUAUGAACCUUUGACCCGGCGAUGUCCGAAUGGGGAAACCCAGUGCAAUUCGUUGCACUAUCGUUAACUGAAUACAUAGGUUAACGAGGCGAACCGGGGGAACUGAAACAUCUAAGUACCCCGAGGAAAAGAAAUCAACCGAGAUUCCCCCAGUAGCGGCGAGCGAACGGGGAGCAGCCCAGAGUCUGAAUCAGCUUGUGUGUUAGUGGAAGCGUCUGGAAAGUCGCACGGUACAGGGUGACAGUCCCGUACACGAAAGCACACAGGCUGUGAACUCGAAGAGUAGGGCGGGACACGUGGUAUCCUGUCUGAAUAUGGGGGGACCAUCCUCCAAGGCUAAAUACUCCUGACUGACCGAUAGUGAACCAGUACCGUGAGGGAAAGGCGAAAAGAACCCCGGCGAGGGGAGUGAAAAAGAACCUGAAACCGUGUACGUACAAGCAGUGGGAGCACCUUCGUGGUGUGACUGCGUACCUUUUGUAUAAUGGGUCAGCGACUUAUAUUCUGUAGCAAGGUUAACCGUAUAGGGGAGCCGAAGGGAAACCGAGUCUUAACUGGGCGUUAAGUUGCAGGGUAUAGACCCGAAACCCGGUGAUCUAGCCAUGGGCAGGUUGAAGGUUGGGUAACACUAACUGGAGGACCGAACCGACUAAUGUUGAAAAAUUAGCGGAUGACUUGUGGCUGGGGGUGAAAGGCCAAUCAAACCGGGAGAUAGCUGGUUCUCCCCGAAAGCUAUUUAGGUAGCGCCUCGUGAACUCAUCUUCGGGGGUAGAGCACUGUUUCGGCUAGGGGGCCAUCCCGGCUUACCAACCCGAUGCAAACUACGAAUACCGAAGAAUGUUAUCACGGGAGACACACGGCGGGUGCUAACGUCCGUCGUGAAGAGGGAAACAACCCAGACCGCCAGCUAAGGUCCCAAAGUCAUGGUUAAGUGGGAAACGAUGUGGGAAGGCACAGACAGCCAGGAUGUUGGCUUAGAAGCAGCCAUCAUUUAAAGAAAGCGUAAUAGCUCACUGGUCGAGUCGGCCUGCGCGGAAGAUGUAACGGGGCUAAACCAUGCACCGAAGCUGCGGCAGCGACACUUAGGUGUUGUUGGGUAGGGGAGCGUUCUGUAAGCCGUUGAAGGUGGCCUGUGAGGGUUGCUGGAGGUAUCAGAAGUGCGAAUGCUGACAUAAGUAACGAUAAAGCGGGUGAAAAGCCCGCUCGCCGGAAGACCAAGGGUUCCUGUCCAACGUUAAUCGGGGCAGGGUGAGUCGACCCCUAAGGCGAGGCCGAAAGGCGUAGUCGAUGGGAAACAGGUUAAUAUUCCUGUACUUGGUGUUACUGCGAAGGGGGGACGGAGAAGGCUAUGUUAGCCGGGCGACGGUUGUCCCGGUUUAAGCAUGUAGGCGGAGGUUCCAGGUAAAUCCGGUACCUUUUAACGCUGAGGUGUGAUGACGAGGCACUACGGUGCUGAAGUAACAAAUGCCCUGCUUCCAGGAAAAGCCUCUAAGCAUCAGGUAACACGAAAUCGUACCCCAAACCGACACAGGUGGUCAGGUAGAGAAUACCAAGGCGCUUGAGAGAACUCGGGUGAAGGAACUAGGCAAAAUGGUGCCGUAACUUCGGGAGAAGGCACGCUGAUAUGUAGGUGAAGCCCCUGCGGGUGGAGCUGAAAUCAGUCGAAGAUACCAGCUGGCUGCAACUGUUUAUUAAAAACACAGCACUGUGCAAACACGAAAGUGGACGUAUACGGUGUGACGCCUGCCCGGUGCCGGAAGGUUAAUUGAUGGGGUUAGCGGCAACGCGAAGCUCUUGAUCGAAGCCCCGGUAAACGGCGGCCGUAACUAUAACGGUCCUAAGGUAGCGAAAUUCCUUGUCGGGUAAGUUCCGACCUGCACGAAUGGCGUAAUGAUGGCCAGGCUGUCUCCACCCGAGACUCAGUGAAAUUGAACUCGCUGUGAAGAUGCAGUGUACCCGCGGCAAGACGGAAAGACCCCGUGAACCUUUACUAUAGCUUGACACUGAACACUGGUCCUUGAUGUGUAGGAUAGGUGGGAGGCUUUGAAGCGUGGACGCCAGUCUGCGUGGAGCCAUCCUUGAAAUACCACCCUUUAAUGGCUGGUGUUCUAACGUAGACCCGUAAUCCGGGUUGCGGACAGUGUCUGGUGGGUAGUUUGACUGGGGCGGUCUCCUCCCAAAGAGUAACGGAGGAGCACGAAGGUUAGCUAAUCCUGGUCGGACAUCAGGAGGUUAGUGCAAUGGCAUAAGCUAGCUUGACUGCGAGAGUGACGGCUCGAGCAGGUGCGAAAGCAGGUCAUAGUGAUCCGGUGGUUCUGAAUGGAAGGGCCAUCGCUCAACGGAUAAAAGGUACUCCGGGGAUAACAGGCUGAUACCGCCCAAGAGUUCAUAUCGACGGCGGUGUUUGGCACCUCGAUGUCGGCUCAUCACAUCCUGGGGCUGAAGUAGGUCCCAAGGGUAUGGCUGUUCGCCAUUUAAAGUGGUACGCGAGCUGGGUUUAGAACGUCGUGAGACAGUUCGGUCCCUAUCUGCCGUGGGCGCUGGAGAAUUGAGGGGGGCUGCUCCUAGUACGAGAGGACCGGAGUGGACGCAUCACUGGUGUUCGGGUUGUCAUGCCAAUGGCACUGCCCGGUAGCUAAAUGCGGAAAAGAUAAGUGCUGAAAGCAUCUAAGCACGAAACUUGCCCC
rnacentral:rRNA from 1 species